rnacentral:rRNA from 1 species
AUUGAACGCUGGCGGCAGGCCUAACACAUGCAAGUCGAACGAGUGGCGGACGGGUGAGUAAUGUCUGGGAAACUGCCUGAUGGAGGGGGAUAACUACUGGAAACGGUAGCUAAUACCGCAUACCAUCGGAUGUGCCCAGAUGGGAUUAGCUAGUAGGUGGGGUAACGGCUCACCUAGGCGACGAUCCCUAGCUGGUCUGAGAGGAUGACCAGCCACACUGGAACUGAGAUACGGCCCAGACUCCUACGGUAGGCAGCAGUGGGGUAUAUUGCACAAUGGACGAAAGUCUGAUGCAGCGACGUCGUGUGGGGGAUGAAGGCCUUCGGGUUGUAAAGUACUUUCAGCGGGGAGGCGUUACCCGCAGAAGAAGCACCGGCUAACUCCGUGCCAGCAGCCGCGGUAAUUC